UCAUUUCACAUAUGAUAAACGUCAUGAUGACGAAUUCCGAGCCCUUUAACAAUCACAUAGGCAUAUAAUUAAACCGCGUCUAUAAUACAUAUAGAACAUAGGGGAGCUUCACUUGCUCUGGUUAGGUCAAACCCACCUAGUAUUAUGCUCCCAAUAAUCACACGAAGUCGACCCCAACCCUGCUGAACACAAACAUUAACACCGCGUCAAAAUAACGACCGAAAUAUCCGAUUUCGGCCUAGAUUACACUUAGUACAAAGAAAUCCCUUAAAUCCCUGUUUU
rnacentral:lncRNA from 1 species